rnacentral:rRNA from 1 species
CCCUUAGAUGUUCUGGGCCGCACGCGCGCUACACUGAUGCAUUCAACAAGUUUAUAACCUUGACCGAUAGGUCUGGGUAAUCUUUUGAAAGUGCAUCGUGCUAGGGAUAGAUUAUUGCAAUUAUUAAUCUUGAACGAGGAAUUCCUAGUAAACGCAAGUCAUCAGCUUGCAUUGAUUACGUCCCUGCCCUUUGUACACACCGCCCGUCGCACCUACUGAUUGAGUGACUCGAUGAAAAAUUGGGAUUGUGAAGGUAUCUUACUUUAUUGCAAGUACUUUUGUGAGAACUUUUUUAAAUCUCGCCACUUAGAAGAAGGUGAAGUCGUAACA